rnacentral:tRNA from 1 species
GGAGCGGUAGUUCAGUUGGUUAGAAUACCUGCCUGUCACGCAGGGGGUCUCGGGUUCGAGUCCCGUCCGUUCCGCCA